rnacentral:rRNA from 1 species
GACGAACCGAGCGAACGUUGUUCGGAAUCACUGGGCUUAAAGGGCGCGUAGGCGGGUGCUCAAGUCCGUGGUGAAAUCCUCCGGCUCAACCGGAGAACUGCCUCGGAUACUGGGUGCCUCGAGGGUGGUAGGGGUAUGCGGAACUAUCGGUGGAGCGGUGAAAUGCGCAGAUAUCAGGAAGAACACCCGUGGCGAAGGCGGCUCUCUGGAACGCAACUGACGCUGAGACGCGAAAGCGUGGGGAGCAAACAGG